rnacentral:rRNA from 1 species
AUUGAACGCUGGCGGCAGGCCUAACACAUGCAAGUCGAGCGGCAGCGGGAAAGUAGCUUGCUACUUUUGCCGGCGAGCGGCGGACGGGUGAGUAAUGCCUGGGAAAUUGCCCAGUCGAGGGGGAUAACAGUUGGAAACGACUGCUAAUACCGCAUACGCCCUACGGGGGAAAGCAGGGGACCUUCGGGCCUUGCGCGAUUGGAUAUGCCCAGGUGGGAUUAGCUAGUUGGUGAGGUAAUGGCUCACCAAGGCGACGAUCCCUAGCUGGUCUGAGAGGAUGAUCAGCCACACUGGAACUGAGACACGGUCCAGACUCCUACGGGAGGCAGCAGUGGGGAAUAUUGCACAAUGGGGGAAACCCUGAUGCAGCCAUGCCGCGUGUGUGAAGAAGGCCUUCGGGUUGUAAAGCACUCUCAGCGAGGAGGAAAGGUUGUUGGUUAAUACCCAGCAGCUGUGACGUUACUCGCAGAAGAAGCACCGGCUAACUCCGUGCCAGCCGCCGCGGUAAAAC